UUGUAAUUUUUCUGUUUUGUUUUGGUUUGAUAAGUAUAAAGUUGUUUGAAGACAAUUCUUAAGUCUUUCUUUUUUCAAACGUUGCUUUAAAUAUCCGUAAGGGGGACGCGUGAAGCUACGAACGUCUCUGUUGUUUACUUUGCGCGCGCUUCAUGCUACUGCUGUUAAUGCUGCGUAGUUUGUCAUUUUUAUACGUAAUAUCUUUAGUAGCAGUAGUACAAAUAUAGGCUGAACGUUUUUAUAAACAGGUAUGGCGAAGGUCAGGGUAAAAAGACGGCUGAAACGAAAGUUCGUUGGCAAUCGACACACUGGGAAUGCUCCGACCGUCGGCCAUUUGGACGGGGAUGUAUCGGCGAGUGCUGCAAAGCUUGCGAACUUGGACGACAACUGUGAAGUGCCAAUGCCAGACCCUUUACUGCAGGGUAAUAGGAUUAUUGACAUCGAGAUCCUUUCAUCUGUUUUUGCAAUGCUCGCCUGCCCGGAAUGCAAGAACACCUCGCUCAGCCUGGAGGAGUGCUCCCAGCAUGGAAUAUCCUUCUCAUAUGCUGUUGUGUGUGGUGCAUGCGCAUAUGCACACUCAUUUAAGUCAUCAAAGAAGGCAGGAAGCUCUAUCGAGAAUAACCUGCGUCUGGUAUACGCAAUGCGUCAGCUAGGCAAGGGGUAUUCUGGAGCUGUGACACUGGCGAAAGUCAUGAACAUGCCGCCGCCGCCUUGGCAUUCUGCCUACCAAAAGAUAUCUGCAAAGCUCUCUAAAGCUGCAGAGAGUGUUGCAUCUAAAUCGAUGAUGAAUGCCGCUACUGAAGUGCGUUGUGUUGUGCGAGUGCCUGCACGGGAAAACCCAAAACGCCAACGAGAGCUUCAACGGCAUGAUUUGGCAACGGGUUCCCAAAGACGUCCACGUGAGCCUGCCCAUCCUACUUUUUGGUUUAUACGAUGCUGUACCACUUCAAUGAUGGUAACAGAACUGUAGCGGCUAUUUUGAGAGAAGCAGGCAUCGAACCUGGCCACCACACUAUCGUAGCAUGCUACACUAGGGACCAACACCGUUUAAGGAAGGCCCAGCGUCAGUCGACUGGCGAAGCAAAACAAGACCGGAAGAAAAGACGGGCAGCAACAAAAGCCAAAAAACAGCUCAUGGCAUCUAAGGAGGGCCCUACCUAUGUGCCUGGUGGAUUUUAACUGUCUAGGGCGUCAUCAUCCUGUUGUACAAGCAUUGUAAAACUUUAAACUCGUUUUUCUCAAAACUUGAUUUUUUGCACUUUUUUGUUACGCCAACAGUUGUAACUUCAUGACGAAUAAAUAUUUUUCAAUGAAA